GAAUGAGAACCUUGUGUUCAGAACUGCAAAGGAACAAACCAAGUGUAUUACCCUCUCUUUGACACCUCAAAAAGCCACAGGAUGCCGGUGGGGUUUGGCAGGAGAAUGUGAAAGAGCUCACCUAUGCCUCUGCUUUCCCACCACUAUGACUAGCAGUGAUGAUCUGGAGUUGCAUGGUCGUCCUCUCUUCAAUCCCAGCAGAUUGCUCCCGCUGAACACAGCUCUUCCCAAGAUGUCCGAGGAGCUCCAUGCUUGCUCACCCUCUGGCCCCAUGCUGAGAGCAGAGUGGAGCUUUGUCAUUUCAGAGUAGUAAGCCAUAUCCAGCAGCUGGCUCUGAAAUCAAUUCCAUAACCAAGUCCAAAUUAAAGAACCAGACUUUUUGCGCA